UGGAAAGAUGAAUCAAAGAAGGUAAUAAUCCUGUAGUCGAAAAUGUUGUCUCUCUUGAGUGGAUCCUGAGUACGACGGAGCACGUGAAAUUCCGUCGGAAUCUGGGAGGACCAUCUCCUAAGGCUAAAUACUCUCUAGUGACCGAUAGUGAACCAGUACCGUGAGGGAAAGGUGAAAAGCACCCCGGAAGGGGAGUGAAAUAGAACCUGAAACCGUGUGCUUACAAGUAGUCAGAGCCCGUUAAUGGGUGAUGGCGUGCCUUUUGUAGAAUGAACCGGCGAGUUACGAUUUGAUGCAAGGUUAAGCAGUAAAUGUGGAGCCGUAGCGAAAGCGAGUCUGAAUAGGGCGUUUAGUAUUUGGUCGUAGACCCGAAACCAGGUGAUCUACCCUUGGUCAGGUUGAAGUUCAGGUAACACUGAAUGGAGGACCGAACCGACUUACGUUGAAAAGUGAGCGGAUGAACUGAGGGUAGCGGAGAAAUUCCAAUCGAACCUGGAGAUAGCUGGUUCUCUCCGAAAUAGCUUUAGGGCUAGCCUCAAGUGAUGAUUAUUGGAGGUAGAGCACUGUUUGGACGAGGGGCCCCUCUCGGGUUACCGAAUUCAGACAAACUCCGAAUGCCAAUUAAUUUAACUUGGGAGUCAGAACAUGGGUGAUAAGGUCCGUGUUCGAAAGGGAAACAGCCCAGACCACCAGCUAAGGUCCCAAAAUAUAUGUUAAGUGGAAAAGGAUGUGGCGUUGCCCAGACAACUAGGAUGUUGGCUUAGAAGCAGCCAUCAUUUAAAGAGUGCGUAAUAGCUCACUAGUCGAGUGACACUGCGCCGAAAAUGUACCGGGGCUAAACAUAUUACCGAAGCUGUGGAUUGUCCUUUGGACAAUGGUAGGAGAGCGUUCUAAGGGCGUUGAAGCAUGAUCGUAAGGACAUGUGGAGCGCUUAGAAGUGAGAAUGCCGGUGUGAGUAGCGAAAGACGGGUGAGAAUCCCGUCCACCGAUUGACUAAGGUUUCCAGAGGAAGGCUCGUCCGCUCUGGGUUAGUCGGGUCCUAAGCUGAGGCCGACAGGCGUAGGCGAUGGAUAACAGGUUGAUAUUCCUGUACCACCUAUAAUCGUUUUAAUCGAUGGGGGGACGCAGUAGGAUAGGCGAAGCGUGCGAUUGGAUUGCACGUCUAAGCAGUAAGGCUGAGUAUUAGGCAAAUCCGGUACUCAUUAAGGCUGAGCUGUGAUGGGGAGAAGACAUUGUGUCUUCGAGUCGUUGAUUUCACACUGCCGAGAAAAGCCUCUAGAUAGAAAAUAGGUGCCCGUACCGCAAACCGACACAGGUAGUCAAGAUGAGAAUUCUAAGGUGAGCGAGCGAACUCUCGUUAAGGAACUCGGCAAAAUGACCCCGUAACUUCGGGAGAAGGGGUGCUCUUUAGGGUUAACGCCCAGAAGAGCCGCAGUGAAUAGGCCCAAGCGACUGUUUAUCAAAAACACAGGUCUCUGCUAAACCGUAAGGUGAUGUAUAGGGGCUGACGCCUGCCCGGUGCUGGAAGGUUAAGAGGAGUGGUUAGCUUCUGCGAAGCUACGAAUCGAAGCCCCAGUAAACGGCGGCCGUAACUAUAACGGUCCUAAGGUAGCGAAAUUCCUUGUCGGGUAAGUUCCGACCCGCACGAAAGGCGUAACGAUUUGGGCACUGUCUCAACGAGAGACUCGGUGAAAUCAUAGUACCUGUGAAGAUGCAGGUUACCCGCGACAGGACGGAAAGACCCCGUGGAGCUUUACUGUAGCCUGAUAUUGAAAUUCGGCACAGCUUGUACAGGAUAGGUAGGAGCCUUUGAAACGUGAGCGCUAGCUUACGUGGAGGCGCUGGUGGGAUACUACCCUAGCUGUGUUGGCUUUCUAACCCGCACCACUUAUCGUGGUGGGAGACAGUGUCAGGCGGGCAGUUUGACUGGGGCGGUCGCCUCCUAAAAGGUAACGGAGGCGCUCAAAGGUUCCCUCAGAAUGGUUGGAAAUCAUUCAUAGAGUGUAAAGGCAUAAGGGAGCUUGACUGCGAGACCUACAAGUCGAGCAGGGUCGAAAGACGGACUUAGUGAUCCGGUGGUUCCGCAUGGAAGGGCCAUCGCUCAACGGAUAAAAGCUACCCCGGGGAUAACAGGCUUAUCUCCCCCAAGAGUUCACAUCGACGGGGAGGUUUGGCACCUCGAUGUCGGCUCAUCGCAUCCUGGGGCUGUAGUCGGUCCCAAGGGUUGGGCUGUUCGCCCAUUAAAGCGGUACGCGAGCUGGGUUCAGAACGUCGUGAGACAGUUCGGUCCCUAUCCGUCGUGGGCGUAGGAAAUUUGAGAGGAGCUGUCCUUAGUACGAGAGGACCGGGAUGGACAUACCUCUGGUGUACCAGUUGUCGUGCCAACGGCAUAGCUGGGUAGCUAUGUGUGGACGGGAUAAGUGCUG
rnacentral:rRNA from 1 species